UUGUGGUCCCGCGCCGCCUCUCUCGUGUGAGCCUCGGCAACCUACAAUCGCAGCCCGGUGCCGCCAGGCUGGCUCGGCUCCUCCGCCUAGUGCCCUGGACCCGUCCCCGUCCCCGGGCGCUGCCUCUUUGCGUCGGUGCUUGGCUGGGACUUUGGGGGAGUCUCUCCUUGCUGUCCAACCGCGGGGAGGAAGAGUGUUGUCUCCUGGGCCAGGGACUUGUGGGACUCAAGUUUUCUGGGAUCUCCUUGAGCACCUGGCUGAGCCACCUGCUGAUUUCCCUGCCAGGUGCUGCCGUUCCAGAUCCGGGCCUGGCCAUGGCACAUACCACGCAGGUCUCCAGUAAGGGAGCUGUGAUCUCAGCUGAAGAUCAAUUAGGUGAGUGGACAUUGGGCAGUGGGGGUACAGUGACCUCAGGUACGUACAAGUGCUCUAGGCCGGUGGCAGGCAUGUGGCCCAUUGGGGUUCUAGGUGUGGCUCACAAGAAAUUUUGUUUAGUGUUGCCCCCGGUUCUGCAGGUUUUCAUCUGUGCAGUUUUUUCCUACUUGUAUUACCCUAGUGACACGCACAAGCCAGGGCACAUGAAGUGAGGUCCGUGCUGAAUGCACACAACACGGACUAUAAACGAAGCAUGCUCCCUCUGCAUUUAAAGCGCUGCUACAGUUCCAGCAGCACCUUCUGCAAAUUCUAGGUAUGCCAGCACAGUUAGCGAAGCUACCCUAUCCUGAGAGACCAGCUUGGUUACAACCAUCUUGUGGCCCAUUCACUAGCCUGGGUUGCCCAUGGUUGCUCUGCAGCAAAGGGGAGAGGUAACAUGCAAGCGUGGCAAGGCAAACCCUGCUAUCAUUCCCCUGCGCCCUCUCCUUGAAGCCCAAUUCCAGGGCUUUAGCAUUGGACCCAAAGAGCAGGUAAGGGAAUACCUGGGAAAUGGGGAUACAUACAAGUCAGUAGCUCCAAUGGCACAUCUCCUGCAGCAUUCAAGGGACUCACUUGCACGCUUCCCAAAUUAUCCAGGUGCCUCGCAGCUGAGAAAGCAGCAAGAGCGAGCUUUGUACCACCCAAGAUGAGAAAAGUGAUCUCAUGAGUUACCAUGCCAGACAUCCAGUUUCUACCAUUAGGGAAACAGUGGGGCACCCUGGACUAUGGGAAAGCAUGCCUGGCCUUGACCUCUGCUCCUGGCUCCUCAGCCAACUUCCUUGCCACAGUAUGAUGUUUGUAGCCAAAAAGCUACUGCCUUGAGCAAAUAGCAGCUCCGAGAGAAAGAAGGGGGCAGUUCUUACCCUGUCACAGGCUCUCUCUUUAAAGCAGGGCCUGCAAUUAAGGAGGCUCUGUCAGCAACAGGGCUAGGACUUAAACAAUUAGCUUAAAAAAAAGGGGGGGGGGAGUUAAUGUCCCUUGAACAGAGGCUCCAACCUAAUGGUAAAGCCAAGUGAAAACCAGUGUUCCCUGUGAGCUGCACACUUGUGCGGCUACUCAGAUUCCAGUGUCACCCAGUUGAUUAGCAGAGCACCCACAGCUAAGUUUGUGUGUUUACUGAUGAUGCACAUUCACACACUGCAGUGCACAGAACAAAAUGUAUUCUGCACCUGGAUGGAAAAGAUUAGAGGGAACGCUGGUGGAAACUGGCAUCAUUCUCUUAGACCAAUGCGUCUCCAUAAGGCCUGGGCCAGAUGCAGAGCUGAGCAGUUUACCUGAAAGCGUGACACACAAUGCUGUGUUUGUGCAGGGACACUUAUGUCUAGUUCUCCCUGGUUUAGCUGGCACGGAUGGCAGCCAUGUUCAAACUGAGGUCUGCACACAGUUGCACUGAUGUCUCUAACCGGAUAACAUCAUUGACUCCUAGGGCUGGAAGAGACCUCAGAGGUUACUGAGUCCAACCACCUGCUAAAAACAAGACUAACCACAACUAAAUCAUCCCAGGCAGAGCUUUGUCAAGACAGGUCUUAAUGCCUUUAGGGCUGGAGAUUCCACCACCUCCUUAGGGAACCUGUUCCAGUGCCUCACCACCCUCCUAGGGAAAUAAUUUUUCCUAAUAGCCAACUGUCACAGGGUACAUUGACCACUCCCACGCCUCCUGCCAGUAGCACUGGGAAUUAGCUUGUAUCUACCUGCUGCACAUGUCCUGCUUGGCUUCCCUCUGGUGGGCGUCGGUGUCCUCAUGUCAUGCUCCGGCUCAGACCUGUGUCACUCUUGGACUGCACGGUCUUCUCCAGGACUCUGGCAGUGCCCACUCCAGUGUCUUUCAGCCCCCUUUGGGGCAAAAGAGGGGGGGGGGGGGAAGAGGGGACAUGCUGUUUAUCAUUCUCUGCAUUCUGGUAUCCUCCCCUCAUAGGGAACCCACAAUUCCCCUAGACCCACCUUUGCCUCAGUGACCCACUGCCACUCUUCAUCUAGCCCCUGCCUCAAGGGCAAGCUGCAGUCUGACUUGGCCACUCAUCAUAGGCAGAGGGGUGGACCUGCAGCCUUUGCCUAUCCUGGCUACAGGAUAGGCAACCCUGAGGUCUUGCUUCAGGCCCGGCAGCCUGGGAGUGAGGUUAGGCUAGUCUCAUCCCAGCCUGUCCCAAGCCAGAUCCCUCCUGUUCCCCAGCUAGAGUCUCUCUUCCUCCCCCGCUUGGAGCCCUUAAUUAUGUAGCCCUACCUGGGCCCUAAUUGGCUACUAUCUGCCACAGCUGUGGACUUUGCUCUCCGCCCUCUCCCAGGGCUGGUUUUUACCCUUAAAGGGCCAGUGCGGGGCAGACGCCCCAUCACAC